rnacentral:rRNA from 1 species
GGGUAGUUUGACUGGGGCGGUCUCCUCCUAAAGAGUAACGGAGGAGCACGAAGGUUGGCUAAGCAUGGUCGGACAUCAUGCGGUUAGUGCAAAGGCAUAAGCCAGCUUGACUGUGAGAGUGACGGCUCGAGCAGGUACGAAAGUAGGUCUUAGUGAUCCGGUGGUUCUGAAUGGAAGGGCCAUCGCUCAACGGAUAAAAGGUACUCCGGGGGAUAACAGGCUGAUACCGCCCAAGAGUUCAUAUCGACGGCGGUGUUUGGCACCUCGAUGUCGGCUCAUCACAUCCUGGGGGCUGAAGUAGGUCCCAAGGGUAUGGCUGUUCGCCAUUUAAAGUGGUACGCGAGCUGGGUUUAGAACGUCGUGAGACAGUUCGGUCCCUAUCUGCCGUGGGCGUUGGAAGAUUGAGAGGGGUUGCUCCUAGUACGAGAGGACCGGAGUGAACGCACCACUGGUGUUCGGGUUGUCAUGCCAAUGGCAUUGCCCGGUAGCUAA